rnacentral:lncRNA from 1 species
AACCACCAACACAACCAUAAGACACUUCUAUCUUCGCUCCACUUUCCACCUAUAAUCUUAUUCAACAUUUCUAAUAUACUAUCUCAAUCUUAAAUUAUAAUUUUUUCUAACUUUUUUAGAAAAUCAAAGAAUCUUUAUUUAACUAAAUUUAUAUAACAAAAUAAUAGCAUUUAUGCAUACAAGUAUGGCCUAGUAAGAAAAACCACCUUACCAACAUUCUUGGAUGGG